CCUACGGGAGGCAGCAGUGAGGAAUAUUGGUCAAUGGGCUGAAGCCUGAACCAGCCAAGUCGCGUGAGGGAAUAAUGCCCUACGGGUCGUAAACCUCUUUUGUCAGGGAGCAACGCCGGCUACGUGUAGCCGGACUGAGAGUACCCGAAGAAAAAGCAUCGGCUAACUCCGUGCCAGCAGCCGCGGUAAUACGGAGGAUGCGAGCGUUAUCCGGAUUUAUUGGGUUUAAAGGGUGCGUAGGCGGGCUGUUAAGUCAGCGGUAAAAAUGCGGGGCUCAACCUCGUUCGGCCGUUGAAACUGGGGGCCUUGAGUGGGCGAGAAGAAUGCGGAAUGCGUGGUGUAGCGGUGAAAUGCAUAGAUAUCACGCAGAACCCCGAUUGCGAAGGCAGCCUUCCGGCGCCCUACUGACGCUGAGGCACGAAAGCGUGGGGAUCGAACAGGAUUAGAUACCCGGGUAGUC
rnacentral:rRNA from 1 species